CUGAAAGGUUGCACAGAUGGCAAUGUGGCAGUUUCCCGCCCCCGAAGCCAGAUCUCUUUCUCUCUGAGAUGGCACAUUCAUUCAGAAACAGUCCAAAAAGAACUUUUGCAAUUAGAAAUUAAGGAAAGGGAAGGACAAAAGCACUAGUCUGAACCCAGCUUCUUGAUAGCUAAUGCUGUAUAUUAGACAAUACAAACUAUUGUUUCUCAUUUGCAUCAGCAAACAAAGCCCCUGCUGCUAAGUAUCAUUAAGAGGAAAGCUCCCACUGUGUGAAACAAUAAUCAUAUUCAUACUGAUGGGCAAGAUACACUGAAACAAACAAACAAAAAAAGCUUUGUGAAAUCUUAAUUGAAUCGUUCCUGUACUGACAGUGUUCUUUAAUGUUUUGUUCAUUUGGAAUGGGCCUGAAUCAUUUGAGGAUAACAGUAAAAGGAUACCUGCGAACAUGUGCAGAAAACCCAACUUUCAUCAGAUGUGCUGCUAUGAUUGACACACGUAAGAGAAUGUUAUGUGCCACAGGGCAGGUCUAAAACUGAAGUUUUGAUUUACAAGUUUUAUGCAUUCUAAUCUUAUCCUAUUGUAACCGAGAGUAUGAAUAUGUGUACCUUCUACUUCUGCAGUUGCCAUAUUGGCUAUCUAGCAUGUUUUAUUAAUGUAUGGAGGUGUUUUUAUCAUGCUGGUCUAUGACUGGAAUAAAGAUUUGAAUUGGAGGUCAGAUGUGAUGUUAGGUUUGAUAUGAACUACAAGCAGAAGAAGCACAAGGAAUCUGGGCUUCGUGGAGCUUUGGCUGUGUGAAAACCUCUCUAACCAAUGAUCAGUUGAUAGAGGGAGCCGCUUUGAAGUCUUUGCACAGAGAGGAAUGAUAAUAAAGAUGGAGCAAUUCCCCAUCUGCAGAGAAAGCACUUUGUAUUCAAGGUGCUUCUCCAAGUGCUUUGCAUGCCAACUGCUUCCUUUGGAAAGGAAAAAAUUGCUCCUUUCCCCUAUGCUUUCCAAGUCCCUAGUGCAAUAAUUUCCAAUGGCUUGCAAAGCCCCUUUUCUUCUGAAGCCCUGACAAUCAGCUGAUUUGGGUAUAACUGGGAAACACGGGAGGGAGGGGUGGUCUUUGGCAGCAUUGGUGAUUGGUGGGGCUUUCAAAUCCCUUUCUCCCAAGCCUUGCUUUUACCUGCCUCUCAUGUGAUGUCAUAUAUAACAGCAGGUACAGGACAGUUGGGUGUGGUAUAGCUAAAAUGGCCUCCUGGGCCAAAUGAGGAUGCCUGGCAUGCAAUAUUAGGCUCACAGACCAGAGAUUCCAUGAGGUGUAAAAUUUGGAAGACAUCAUGGUAUUUAAGUUAAUUGAAGCUAACCUAUUCCUUUGUCCUCACUGGGAUUUAAGCAUCAUCCCCUUCUUUAGAUGGUGAUUUCUGCUGGGUUUUGAGAUUUCUGAUGCCUGUUUCAGAUAUACAAUAUUUAUUAUUUAUGUAUUUAUUAGAUUUAUAUAUGUAAUAGAAUAAAAGAUAGUAGCAUUCCUUGAUAUUGCAGUCAUUGGCUGAUGAACAUGCAGAGGCCAACUCACCAUUUGUUCUUUGUCCCUUGAUGAGCAUGAUAAUGAAUAUUUGUUUUUCAAUGUCUGUGUCCAAAAUACUUCUCUUUGCCAGUCUUCCUCAGAAUGGCAACAUUUCAUAGACCAAUCCUGCAUAUCCAACACACAACAAAUUCCAACCAAAUGAACAAAUGUGGUGAGUGACUCACUGACCAAUUACAUUGGUGUAGUCUCAAGGGAUAUAAUGAGUCUACACUAGUAAAUGACCAGUGAAUCACCUGAAUAAUGUUCCUUUUGUUGGCAUGAUUAAAAAUCUAUUACCUACUACGGUAUUAAUCACUGUCAUUUCAGAACUGCACAUCAUUAACUUCAACUUUGGGUUAUUACCUACUUUAUAAUGAAGGCAACAUUUUUGUUAUAUAUUUGUGUAAUGCUUAGCACAACUGAGGAAUUUAUCCUUCUAUUGAAGUCUGAGAGCAUUAGCAGAAUAAAUACAGAUUAACAUCUAUCUUUUCACUGUGAUACUCCAAUGCAACAAAAUAAUUUUUACAUUUAUAUACACAAUAAGUAAUCUUGUGACUUUCUUAGACUCUCAAGCUUCAGUUUUUUAAAAAACAGAAAAAGAAAUUGUUUACACUAACCCAUUUUCCUAUGAACAUAUCCAUAUGAACAUAUUAUGGAAGAUGGGAUCACAUCCAUUGGCUUUAUCCCCCAUUGUGAUCCUUGGUUUGGGACCAAGUUACUAACACCUACCUAAUCCACCCUUUUCCAAAAUGCUAUCCUUCAGAUGCCUUUGACUACAAUUUUCAUCAGUCACAGCCAGCAUUGUCAAUGAUCAAGGAUGAUGGGGAUUCAAAACAACACCUGGAAGACGUUGACACAAGAAAAACUGACCUCUGCACAGUCCCCCCCCAUAUGUGCUUUUAUUUACUGUUUUAAAUAAAUGCAUAUAAAUGUAAUUUUGCUUACACCACAUAAUGAAGGUGAAACAUGAUUUAAUUAAUUGAUUUAAUUAAUUAUUUCCCGCCACCUUCACAUAUUGCACAAAUCAGAGAUUCCAUGAAGUGUUUUCUGACUCCUGCAGACCACACACAUAGGAUAAUAGAAUCAUAGAAUUAUAGAGUUGGAAGGGACCCCACAGGUAUAGCUAAGUUGGUUAGAGCAUGGUGCUGAUUAUGCCAAGGUUGCAGGUUUGAUGCCAGUAUUGGGCAGCUGCAUAUAUAGGUUGGACCAGAUGAUUCUCAGGGUCCCUUCCAACUCUAUGGUUCUAUGAAUUUUAGGAACCCCAUGCAAUGCAGGAAUCUCAACAAAGAAUCAUAGAAUUGUAUUAUUAUUAUUAUUAUUAUUAUUAUUAUUAUUAAUGUUACAGGUAUAUAAUAUUCAUAUAGUUUAAGCUUUAUUUCAUGUGUAUUUAUUUUUACUCCACUGACAUUCUUACAGGUCCUGAUUUUAAUUGCAAGUGGAUUUAUUCCCAAUGCAAACGAUAGUGGAGAUGAAGAACAACCUUGUCUUGUACCUUUAUAUGAAUUAAGGAGAUUUGAAGUUAUCCCAUUGAUACAUAUCUUUGCUUUUGUGCUCAACACAUUACCUGUACCUUUGUUUUAAAUCUUUCCCCCAAAAUGGUAAGCUUUAACAUCUCAACCAAAAAUGGCCAUUCAAUAUUGUCAAAAGCUUUUGCUGUGUCCAUAACACCACCACCAACACCACCACCACCACCACCAC